rnacentral:rRNA from 1 species
GAUGAACGCUGGCGGCGUGCCUAAUACAUGCAAGUCGAGCGAAGCGGGGACGGGUGAGUAACACGUGGAUAACCUCCUCUCAGACUGGGAUACCUUCGGGAGACCGGAGCUAAACCCGAUACUUCUACAUUGAUCCGAGCUGCAUUAGCUAGUUGGUAAGGUCACGGCUUACCAAGGAAACGAUGCAGAGCCGAUCUGAGAGGGUGAUCGGCCACACGGGAACUGCGACACGGUCCAGACUCCUAAGGGAGGAAGCAGUGGGGAAUCUUGCGCAAUGGGCGCAAGCCUGACGGAGCAACGCAGCGUGAGUGAUGAAGGUCUUCGGAUUGUAAAACUCUGGUAGUAGGGAAGCGGUACCGAAUCAGAAAGCCACGGCUAACUACGUGCCAGCAGCCGCGGUAAUUC